rnacentral:rRNA from 1 species
CCUACGGGAGGCAGCAGUAGGGAAUUUUUCACAAUGGGCGAAAGCCUGAUGGAGCAACGCCGCGUGCAGGAUGAAGGCCUUCGGGUUGUAAACUGCUUUUAUAAGCGAGAAAUAUGAUGGUAACUUAUGAAUAAGGAUCGGCUAACUACGUGCCAGCAGCCGCGGUCAUACGUAGGAUCCGAGCAUUAUCCGGAGUGACUGGGUGUAAAGAGUUGCGUAGGUGGCAUAAUAAGUAGCUAGUGAAAUCUGGUGGCUCAACCAUUCAGACUAUUAGCUAAACUGUUAAGCUCGAGACCGUUAGGGGUAACUGGAAUUUCUAGUGUAGGAGUGAAAUCCGUAGAUAUUAGAAGGAACACCGAUAGCGUAGGCAGGUUGCUGGGACGGUUCUGACACUAAGGCACGAAAGCGUAGGGAGCAAACGGGAUUAGAUACCCCUGUAGUC